AUUGAACGCUGGCGGCAGGCCUAACACAUGCAAGUCGAGCGGAUGAAGGGAGCUUGCUCCUGGAUUCAGCGGCGGACGGGUGAGUAAUGCCUAGGAAUCUGCCUGUUAGUGGGGGAUAACGUCCGGAAACGGGCGCUAAUACCGCAUACGUCCUGAGGGAGAAAUGGGGGGAUCUUCGGACCUCACGCUAUCAGAUGAGCCUAGGUCGGAUUAGCUAGUUGGUGGGGUAAAGGCCUACCAAGGCGACGAUCCGUAACUGGUCUGAGAGGAUGAUCAGUCACACUGGAACUGAGACACGGUCCAGACUCCUACGGGAGGCAGCAGUGGGGAAUAUUGGACAAUGGGCGAAAGCCUGAUCCAGCCAUGCCGCGUGUGUGAAGAAGGUCUUCGGAUUGUAAAGCACUUUAAGUUGGGAGGAAGGGCAGUAAGUUAAUACCUUGCUGUUUUGACGUUACCAACAGAAUAAGCACCGGCUAACUUCGUG
rnacentral:rRNA from 1 species